rnacentral:tmRNA from 1 species
UCCCUUUUCAGACGCGGGCGUUGUGCCUAUAUUCCUCCUCGCCGGUGAAAGCCGGCUAUGGUGAUAAACAGACGAUGCAAUAAACCAUUCGGACCCGGGGGCGGUACCCGGCGCCUCCACCGGAGUCUCUCUCCUCGUUCCUGGCGACGAGGAUGCCGAGAGCCUGCGGCGGGGGCGAAAUAGGAUCGACGAGGGUGUAAAGAUCGGACUUUUGCCCGGCAUUGUACCGCCGUUAUCGGGCUAUUUUUAUAGUUGCCAACGACAACUAUGCGGAAGUCCGUCUCGCUGCUUAAGGCAGCGCGAUAGCUUCGAAUCAAGCCCUGGGGGUUCGCACUUCUAGGCGGGGUCCGGAGGCACCUGGCAACAGAAGCCUCCACU